AUCGAUAAGCGCUGAAAGCAUCUAAGCGCGAAGCGAGCCUUGAGAUGAGUUUUCCCUGGCACUAUAAGUGUCCUAAAGGGUUGUCGUAGACUACGACGUUGAUAGGCAGGGUGUGUAAGUGCUGCGAGGCAUUGAGCUAACCUGUACUAAUUGCCCGUGAGGCUUAACCAU
rnacentral:rRNA from 1 species